rnacentral:rRNA from 1 species
GGGUGACUGCGUACCUUUUGUAUAAUGGGUCAGCGACUUAUAUUCUGUAGCAAGGUUAACCGAAUAGGGGAGCCGUAGGGAAACCGAGUCUUAACUGGGCGAAUGAGUUGCAGGGUAUAGACCCGAAACCCGGUGAUCUAGCCAUGGGCAGGUUGAAGGUUGGGUAACACUAACUGGAGGACCGAACCGACUAAUGUUGAAAAAUUAGCGGAUGACUUGUGGCUGGGGGUGAAAGGCCAAUCAAACCGGGAGAUAGCUGGUUCUCCCCGAAAGCUAUUUAGGUAGCGCCUCGUGAACUCAUCUUCGGGGGUAGAGCACUGUUUCGGCUAGGGGGUCAUCCCGACUUACCAACCCGAUGCAAACUACGAAUACCGAAGAAUGUUAUCACGGGAGACACACGGCGGGUGCUAACGUUCGUCGUGAAGAGGGAAACAACCCAGACCGCCAGCUAAGGUCCCAAAGUCAUGGUUAAGUGGGAAACGAAGUGGGAAGGCUCAGACAGCCAGGAUGUUGGCUUAGAAGCAGCCAUCAUUUAAAGAAAGCGUAAUAGCUCACUGGUCGAGUCGGCCUGCGCGGAAGAUGUAACGGGGCUAAACCAUGCACCGAAGCUGCGGCAGCGACAUGUAAAUGUUGUUGGGUAGGGGAGCGUUCUGUAAGCCUGUGAAGGUGUGCUGCGAGGCAUGCUGGAGGUAUCAGAAGUGCGAAUGCUGACAUAAGUAACGAUAAUGCGGGUGAAAAACCCGCACGCCGGAAGACCAAGGGUUCCUGUCCAACGUUAAUCGGGGCAGGGUGAGUCGACCCCUAAGGCGAGGCAGAAAUGCGUAGUCGAUGGGAAACAGGUUAAUAUUCCUGUACUGGUGAUAAUUGCGAUGGGGGGACGGAGAAGGCUAGGCUGGCCGGGCGACGGUUGUCCCGGUUUAAGGAUGUAGGUGGGUGAAUUAGGCAAAUCCGGUUCGCUAUACACUGAGGUCUGAUGACGAGUCACUACGGUGGCGAAGUAGCUCAUGCCCCGCUUCCAGGAAAAGCCUCUAAGCUCUAGAUUAUCAUUAAUCGUACCCCAAACCGACACAGGUGGUCAGGUAGAGAAUACUCAGGCGCUUGAGAGAACUCGGGUGAAGGAACUAGGCAAAAUGGUGCCGUAACUUCGGGAGAAGGCACGCUGGCACUAGGUGAAGUGGUUUACCCAUGGAGCUGAAGCCAGUCGCAGAUACCAGCUGGCUGCAACUGUUUAUUAAAAACACAGCACUGUGCAAACACGAAAGUGGACGUAUACGGUGUGACGCCUGCCCGGUGCUGGAAGGUUAAUUGAUGGGGUUAUCCGUAAGGAGAAGCUCUUGAUCGAAGCCCCAGUAAACGGCGGCCGUAACUAUAACGGUCCUAAGGUAGCGAAAUUCCUUGUCGGGUAAGUUCCGACCUGCACGAAUGGCGUAAUGAUGGCCAGGCUGUCUCCACCCGAGACUCAGUGAAAUUGAACUCGCUGUGAAGAUGCAGUGUACCCGCGGCAAGACGGAAAGACCCCGUGAACCUUUACUAUAGCUUGACACUGAACAUUGAGCCUUGAUGUGUAGGAUAGGUGGGAGGCUUUGAAGUGUGGACGCCAGUCUGCAUGGAGCCAACCUUGAAAUACCACCCUUUAAUGUUUGAUGUUCUAACGU